AGCCGGCGAGUCGUAAGUCGGAGAUCGAACUGGAGCGACUCGAGCUAUGGUCUGAGCCGGCGAGUCGCAAGUCGGAGAUCGAACUGGGGCGACUCGGGCUAUGCGCCAAGGAGCACGACGUAGGCGGGCAGGCCGCGCGGGUGUGUCUUGGGUCAUGGGCAACGUGCGACCGAUGAGCACAUCUCAAUCGGGAAGCCGAGCAGAGGUCGUGGUCUCGGACGACGUGCGGCCGAGGAGCACGACGCAAGCGGGCAGGCCGCGUAGGCGCGUCUCGGGUUAUGGGCCGAGCCGGCAAGUCGCAAGUCGGAGGUCGAGCUGGAGCGACUCGGGCUAUGAGCCAAGCCGGCGAGUCGCAAGUCGGAGGUCGAACUGGAGCGACUCGGGCUAUG
rnacentral:lncRNA from 1 species